GACGAACGCUGGCGGCGUGCUUAACACAUGCAAGUCGAACGGAAAGGCCUCGUUCGGGGGGUCCUCGCGUGUCGAACGGGUGUGUAACACGCGUGUGACCUGCCCUUGUCUUUGUGAUAUCUUCUGGAAACUGGGGCUAUUAUCGGAUAUAAGCUCCUGCGGCAUGGUGUGGGGUGGCAAGUUUUUGCGGUUGGGGAUGGGGACGCGGCUUAUAAGCUUGUGGGGGGGGUAUUGGCUUACCAAAGCGUUGACGGGUAGCCGGCCUGAGAGGGUGACCGGCCACAGUGGGACUGAGAUACGGCCCAGACUCCUACGGGGGGCAGCAGUGGGGGAGAUUGCACAAGGGGUGGAAGCCUGAUGCAGCAACGCCGUGGGCGGGAUGACGGCCUUCGGGUUGGAAACCGCUUUCGCUCAUGACGAAGCUGUGUGUGACGGUAGUGGGUAAAGAAGCACCGGCUAACUACGUG
rnacentral:rRNA from 1 species